GGCGGCGGACCGCGGGAAGCGGGACCCGGCGGCCCAGGCGCGGCGCUCCGGGAGCCCAGUUUAAGAAAACUAGACAUUAGUUAGAUUGGAAGAACAUCUGAGUUUGGAAAUGGGUCUUUGCUUUUUCGUCCAUGAUGGAUUGUUGGCUAGAAAAUCAGAGACUGGCAUUAUCAACUAGUAUGUUAUAAAGUGCUGUCAUACUGGGUUAACAGGUGUUUCAUAUAGAGCCGUGGCCAAAACACAUCUGGGACACAACAGAGCCAAAUGAAGCGUCUCGCCAACACUUGUGACCACACCGGUCUCCUCCACCUCACCUUACCUCUCAGGGACAAAUUCGUUUCUCUCUAAAAACUGACCAGUGGAAACCGAAAUUCUAAGAUGAGCAGAGGACGAGGAAGUGGACCACACGGCCUCAUCCAGACCCAUUCAAGUGUCACCACAACUGUGGCGUCUGGGAAAUCUUGGAGCAGUGCUUCUCAAGCAAGGAGAGGAAGAAGAGGGACAUCCCAUGGGGAGUUUGUGGCCUCCCCGCCCCCCACAAUCCCUUCUGAGGCAGUGCCAUGCAGCUGAGAAAUAAAUUAUGUUGCUGAGGCUGAAGAUGAGGCACAGAAGUAUGGCUCCAGCUAUCUGAGGGAAAGACAGGGGCCGGGAGUUGACCAGGAGCCAAUCCUUCCUCAGAGUCUUGUCCAGAAGUAUGGCUUCCAUCUGCAUGUAAGUGGCCAGGAUCACACACACAUGGAAUAGCUGGUGACUGUGACCUAGGCAAACACAGAAAAGGCCACCAAGGUCAGCAAUACAGAAAUGGACUGUUGAUACUCUACUAUGGCAUGUAGGCUACACACAUCAUGCUGGAUGCAAGAAGCCAAGCACAAGAGACCACUUGUCAGAUUGAUGUCAGAUUCCAUCUAUAUCAAGUAUCCAGAAAAGACGAAUUCUCAGACACAAGGUAGAUUAGAGGUUGCUACACACAGGGGGUAGGAAUCGGGAUUAACAGUACUUGGGCACGAGAGGUCUUCUGAGUGAUGAUAAUGUUCUAGAACUCAUUUAUGGUGAUGGCUGUCCAACUUGCUCAGUUUACUAAAAAUAUCACUGACUUGAAUACUCAGAAUUAGGGAAUUAUUUGGUAUGUAAAGUAGGCCUCAAUAAAUUAAAAUGCAUUGUGAGAAAACUUAAAAGCCCAGCCGAGAUAGCCAAGUCCAUGUUUCAGACAACUUCUCUGUCAGUCCCAUUUUUCAGGUGAAGAGGUCUGACAUCAUGUCCUGCUACACAGUUCACCUCUUCAGAGCCGGGGACUCAUCAAUUCCCAUCCUGACUUCAAUGCCAAAGGAGUCGCCAGCCAGACCUUCUGAUGGCCACUUAGGAGGCAGUCCUCUCCCUCCUGCUGGUUAAUCCCAGACAUGACCAGGAGCUCUUCCUCCCCAUGACCAGGACUCUGGUUGGGCAGCCUUUGGUACACAGAGGGGAGGAGCCAGCAGAGGGGGUGGGAGUGGGCAGGCAGGGAUGUGCAGAGUUGGUAGUGGUGAGAAAAGGAGUCCAUUGCUCAGGGCCAAGGACUAUUUGCGGAACAACCCUCAGAAACCAGAAGAUGAGCAUGUGUAAGGGCUGAAUUGUUCUCCCUCUCCUUGGUUCCCAAGGUCGAAGUCCCAACAUCCCCCACACCCCGUCCCCACUGUACUUCAGAAUGUGACCAUAUUUGGAGAUAGGAUCUUUUAAAAAGACAAUUAAGUUAAAAGGAGGUCACUAGACCCGCUAUGACCGGUGCCCUUGUAAGAAGAGGAGGUUAGAGCCUGGGCAGGCACAUCCACAGAGGAAAGACCCUAGGAGGAGAGACAGAGAAGACGGCCGUCUGCAAGCCAGGGAGAGAGGCCUCAGGAAAGCCCAACGCCACCUGCACCUGCCGGCUGCCAAAAUAAUAAGAAAAUACAUUUCUUAUUUAAGCAACAACCCCCGGCCCCCUUCCAGUCUAUGAGUCUUUGUUAUGACAGUUCCAGCAAGGAAUACAACACAAGAGUUAAAGAGGAUUCUUGAAGUAAGAGAGAGAUAGAGAGAGAGAGAGAGAGAGAGAAAGUCAGCGUCGUACCCCCAGGGACUUAUCCCAGAGUAAGUGUUCAAAAGUGUCCCGGGAAAGGACCAGCCUGACCACCUGCACUCCUGAGCAGAUACAGAGUUGGGAAUGGGAGUGUGAGAGAGAGAGUCCUCUUGGGUGGGUGGCCAGUGAGCUCCCUACAGCAGGGAGCUGCCUGCACCCCAGGCCGCAUCCCCAGGGAAGAAGGUGUGCCUGGACAUGCCGCCCCUGCCUCACUCAGGCCAGACUCGGGGCCUGUGUAGGAUUGCCACAUCCACUUGUGAUGCAGCCAAGUGGCUUCUUAUCCAGCAGAGAGCCCUGGUCUCCGAGGGCACAUAUCCAAGCAGAGAGAGGUGACUAGCCGAGCUCCCCGAGGCUCAAACCUGUCUCCAUUAGGGCAGGAGAUAAAGACAGAAAGUGCCAGGAGCAUGAGAUGUAUCUGCAAUGUGGCUACAGCAAGAAGAGUGAUUUCAGCACUGUGGCUCGAUAGGAAUGUGGAGGAGCUUCCUGUGGGUCAACGCUCACCAGUCAGCAUGUGGGCUGGAGGCGCGGGGAGAGGUGUCUUUCUACUCUGGGACCCCCAGGCCCAAGAGGAUGGGACUAAAGGUGAAUGAAUGAGACACUAUUAAGAAACCAGCGGGGAGCACCCUGGGUGGCUCAGUCUCGUAAGCCUCUGCCUUCAGCUCAGAUCAUGAUCCCCGGGUCCUGGGAUCGAGCCUGGCA